rnacentral:rRNA from 1 species
UACGUGGGGACCGAGCGUUGUCCGGAUUCAUUGGGCGUAAAGAGCUCGUAGGCGGCUGCUCAAGUCGAAUGUGAAACCUCGAGGCUUAACCUCGAGCCUGCAUUCGAUACUGGGCGGCUAGAGUCUGGUAGGGGAGUCUGGAAUUCCUGGUGUAGCGGUGAAAUGCGCAGAUAUCAGGAGGAACACCGGUGGCGAAGGCGGGUCUGCCGUG